rnacentral:pre_miRNA from 1 species
UAAGGUGCAUCUAGUGCAGUUAGUGGCGUAGUCUAGAAUCUACUGCCCUAAAUGCUCCUUCUGGC